rnacentral:rRNA from 1 species
AUUGAACGCUGGCGGCAGGCCUAACACAUGCAAGUCGAACGAGUGGCGGACGGGUGAGUAAUGUCUGGGAAACUGCCCGAUGGAGGGGGAUAACUACUGGAAACGGUAGCUAAUACCGCAUACCAUCGGAUGUGCCCAGAUGGGAUUAGCUAGUAGGUGGGGUAACGGCUCACCUAGGCGACGAUCCCUAGCUGGUCUGAGAGGAUGACCGUGCACACUGGAACUGAGACACGGUCCAGACUCGUACGGGAGGCAGCAGUGGGGUAUAUUGGCCAAUGGGCGCAAGCCUGAUCCAGCCAUGCCGGGUGUAUGCAGAAGGCCUUCGGGUUGUAAAGUACUUUCAGCGGGGAGGCGUUACCCGCAGAAGAAGCACCGGCUAACUCCGUGCCAGCAGCCGCGGUAAUAC